GACGAACGCUGGCGGCGUGCUUAACACAUGCAAGUCGAACGGAAAGGCCCUGCUUUUGUGGGGUGCUCGAGUGGCGAACGGGUGAGUAACACGUGAGUAACCUGCCCUUGACUUUGGGAUAACUUCAGGAAACUGGGGCUAAUACCGGAUAGGAGCUCCUGCUGCAUGGUGGGGGUUGGAAAGUUUCGGCGGUUGGGGAUGGACUCGCGGCUUAUCAGCUUGUUGGUGGGGUAGUGGCUUACCAAGGCUUUGACGGGUAGCCGGCCUGAGAGGGUGACCGGCCACAUUGGGACUGAGAUACGGCCCAGAAUGCUACGGGAGGCAGCAGUGGGGAAUAUUGCACAAUGGGCGGAAGCCUGAUGCAGCAACGCCGCGUGCGGGAUGACGGCCUUCGGGUUGUAAACCGCUUUCGCCUGUGACGAGGCGUGAGUGACGGUAAUGGGUAAAGAAGCACCGGCUAACUACGUG
rnacentral:rRNA from 1 species